AUCAAAAGUUAUUUAAAAUGGUGUAUUUGAAACUCACCAAUUAAGGAAAGAAAGAAAUAUAUAACAGGCAGGCGGUUCAAGUUUUCAACAUAAUUUAAUAAGAAGCUUCCGGUUUAAAAGGUAACCACAGCAAAGACAUAAAAGAGCUGGUGGCAGCUGCCAUUAGCCAUGAAGCUUGUUCUUUCUCAUCCUACCAGUCCCCAGCAGUUACAAGUAGUGGCUUGACUGAGUUGGAAAUGUUAUUGCUCAGUUUGAUGUACUGAAUAGAUGUGGGUCCCGUCCCCCCAUGUGGUCCUCUCAUUACAGCAGUAGGAAGAAACACAAGGAGCAUAUAGGGAACAGAAGAAGCCGGCUGAAGAGGCAGUAGUUUAAAACUGACCCAAGUCAAAGAGUUUUUGCCCAGGCGUUGUAGCUUCAUUGGUUGGAACUUAUUUUGCAUGGAAUGUUGUGAAAGGCCAAUGGUGUUUUGGGGGAGAAAAAGAAGGGUUUCAAGCCUUAAGACAUUCCCAUAGGAGCGAUCUAUCCAUGGCUCUUGGUGCUCAGAAAAAAGAUAUCCUCAAGUCUCAAAAUGUCAAGGAACCUUGGACUGCUGUAAGUCAAUAUGCUACCAGGCCAAACAUAAGGUGUUGCUGUUCGCACAUAAAGCCCUAAAAUAUGGGAAUAGCCUACCUCAAAGAUUGCCUUUCUCCAUACACCCCAGACCAUUCUUUGAGAUCUGCUGGAGAAGCCUUGCUAACUGUCCACCGUGGCAGCCACAAGGAGCAGUAAGGCCUAUAUUGUGGAACGCAGUGCUUUUUUCCAGGGGGUACUGAAAGGUACAUUGUUUUUUGUUGUAAAAAAGUGUGACACUUACUGUAACAACUUCCUGGUCAGUCCUGGCACCUAUUUUUCUAGGAAAAACCCACCGGUGGAAUGCAUUGCAUUUGUGUAUUAGACAGCAAUCCCGUGUUUAGCCUUAGAUGCCAGCUUGUUAUUAUAAUUUUUUACACAAGCUUACCCGGCCAUGUGACCCAGUUUUUAUGUUCUUCUGAUCUUUGCCUUUUUAUGUUUUUAAGUUUCAAUUUUAUGUGCACAGCUUUGAAAAGAUUUCUUUCCCUUUGGCGCUACAGAAUUUUAUGCAUUAAUAAUUAAAAUAAGUUAAGUUGAUAAUGAACAAGAAAAGGACAGAUCACGCAGAGCACUUUCUCUGAAAGCAUCUCAUUUUGACCAGUAGCUGCCAUGUUGUUGUUAUUGUUGUUACCAAGAUAGAUGAUCCAUUGUUCUGGACUAGUAAGAUGUGAGAGGAUUCUGAUACUUCAGUAGUAACUCUUGGUUUGAAAUGUGCAUAAAAGCUUGGGCAUAUUGCCAAACUCUGCUCUAUCAGUUUAACUAAGGUAUAGAAUUGCCUCCAGAAAAUAAAUAAAUCAAAAUUUGAAGGAUCCCCUUACCCCAUAUAUGCCCACUAGACAGCUUUGAUCUGCAUAUCUGGUACUUUGAUAAGUGUCACAUAAUGUUUGAUUUGCACUUACAAGGGAUCAAUGUUUCCAAUAUGCUAUGGCAUUUCCUGUUCACUGAUGUUAUUAGGCAGGUGCCUGUUUCUGGCACUCCCUAAAAACAUGUUUGUUAGGGCAAGCCUAUCCAAACAUGUGAUUUUGACAUGUUGUUUUAUUUUUUAAUGUAUUUAUUUGCUUACUUACAUUUUGAACAACUUGCUUUUAGCAUCCAAUUUAAUAGGUAUUUUAAAUGUAUAUCUCAUAUUGUUUCAUGUAUACCACUUAAAAGGUUUUGAUGACUAAGCGGCAUACAAAUCUUGAAAUAUAUUACGCUGUAGUGACAGAUGUCUCGAGGGUUCCCACCACCAUCACCUUUGCUGGUUUCAUUGUCUAGUUUAUGGACACACCUGGCUUUUGUCAAUUCUGAGGUUCUUGUGCUAGAAUAUAUCUAGAACUCUGUGUGGAGGGAGAUCAGGAGGCCCCUGACAAUGCAUGUUCCCACCAUUCCAGUGGCCAGCUAUGGCCCUCUGACCUCCAAUCAUCUUGCAAAGGUCUGAAAAGGAGCCUGGUCUACUUCAUGCAACUCCUGCCACAAGGCAGUUCCCCCUGCAGACCUUGGCCUAGAGGGGCACAGUCAACACAUGGCGCUGCUCCUCUUCUGUGCGUUCAUGACUGCAGGGAAAAUAAGGAGUGGCAUGUUCAAGGGAUUGUGAGGCGCUCCAAAGUGAGUGAAUGGGCAGUAAACUGGACAAUAUGAUUCAGUGUACACCAAAUGUAGAUCAGGGCAAAACGAAGCCUAACUUCACACACACGCUAAUGGGGAAAAGAAUUGAAAAUUAAACUGCCACUAUCAUAAGGCUGUGAUAAAAAUUGAUUGUGUCAGCACAGCUGCAAUACUGUGUACAGUUCUGCAUGCCUAGUCUCUAAAAGGAUACUGUACCUCCAACAGGGUUCAGAAAAGGGGAAGCAAAAUGAUCAAGGAUUACCUGAUAAAAGAGAAACAAAACAUUGGAGAGAAUAUUCCACUGGAAGUCUGGGAAUACCUUUGGAAAACAAUGGGCUAUGUGGAAAUGGCAAAGGUGAGAGCAAGAGAAGAGAUCAAGUGGUGAAUUUCACAUGGAAGAAUGAGACCCUUAUUUGGACAAUUUGGAAAAUAUCACGUUAAAUGGAAUCGCGGGCAGGACUGAAAUAUGAGCUGCGGAAGAAAAUUAAUUCUAAUUGUAAUGAAAGAAUUGUGGAAUAGAUAAAAGUAUAAAGCAGCAUAAAAGGUUGAGAAUAAAAACACCAUGGAAGAAGGGUGGGGAGUCAACUUUUAAAAGUGUAUUAAAUUUGAUGCUAAGUUUGAUGUCAGUU
rnacentral:lncRNA from 1 species